rnacentral:rRNA from 1 species
CCUACGGGCGGCAGCAGUGGGGAAUAUUGGGCAAUGGGCGCAAGCCUGACCCAGCAACGCCGCGUGAAGGAAGAAGGCUUUCGGGUUGUAAACUUCUUUUCUCAGGGACGAAGAAAGUGACGGUACCUGAGUAAUAAGCCACGGCUAACUACGUGCAAGCAGCCGCGGUAAUACGUAGGGGGCAAGCGUUAUCCGGAUGUAUUGGGUGUAAAGGGCGUGUAGGCGGGAGCGCAAGUCAGAUGUGAAAACUCAGGGCUCAACCCUGAGACUGCAUUUGAAACUGUGUUUCUUGAGUGCUGGAGAGGCAGUGAGAAUUCCGGGUGUAGCGGUGAAAUGCGUAGAUAUACGGAGGAACAGCAGUGGCGAAGGCGGAUUGCUGGACAGUAACUGACGCGGAGGCGCGAAAGCGUGGGGAGCAAACAGGAUUAGAUACCCGGGUAGUC